UCAGGAUGAACGCUGGCGGCGUGCUAAUACAUGCAAGUCGAACGCUUUGUGGUUCAACUGAUUUGAAGAGCUUGCUCAGAUAUGACGAUGGACAUUGCAAAGAGUGGCGAACGGGUGAGUAACACGUGGGAAACCUACCUCUUAGCAGGGGAUAACAUUUGGAAACAGAUGCUAAUACCGUAUAACAAUGACAACCGCAUGGUUGUUAUUUAAAAGAUGGUUCUGCUAUCACUAAGAGAUGGUCCCGCGGUGCAUUAGCUAGUUGGUAAGGUAAUGGCUUACCAAGGCGAUGAUGCAUAGCCGAGUUGAGAGACUGAUCGGCCACAAUGGGACUGAGACACGGCCCAUACUCCUACGGGAGGCAGCAGUAGGGAAUCUUCCACAAUGGGCGAAAGCCUGAUGGAGCAACGCCGCGUGUGUGAUGAAGGGUUUCGGCUCGUAAAACACUGUUGUAAGAGAAGAAUGACAUUGAGAGUAACUGUUCAAUGUGUGACGGUAUCUUACCAGAAAGGAACGGCUAAAUACGUGCCAGCAGCCGCGGUAAUACGUAUGUUCCAAGCGUUAUCCGGAUUUAUUGGGCGUAAAGCGAGCGCAGACGGUUAUUUAAGUCUGAAGUGAAAGCCCUCAGCUCAACUGAGGAAUUGCUUUGGAAACUGGAUGACUUGAGUGCAGUAGAGGAAAGUGGAACUCCAUGUGUAGCGGUGAAAUGCGUAGAUAUAUGGAAGAACACCAGUGGCGAAGGCGGCUUUCUGGACUGUAACUGACGUUGAGGCUCGAAAGUGUGGGUAGCAAACAGGAUUAGAUACCCUGGUAGUCCACACCGUAAACGAUGAGUGCUAGGUGUUUGAGGGUUUCCGCCCUUAAGUGCCGCAGCUAACGCAUUAAGCACUCCGCCUGGGGAGUACGACCGCAAGGUUGAAACUCAAAGGAAUUGACGGGGACCCGCACAAGCGGUGGAGCAUGUGGUUUAAUUCGAAGCAACGCGAAGAACCUUACCAGGUCUUGACAUCCCUUGACAACUCCAGAGAUGGAGUGUUCCCUUCGGGGACAAGGUGACAGGUGGUGCAUGGUUGUCGUCAGCUCGUGUCGUGAGAUGUUGGGUUAAGUCCCGCAACGAGCGCAACCCUUAUUACUAGUUGCCAGCAUUCAGUUGGGCACUCUAGUGAGACUGCCGGUGACAAACCGGAGGAAGGUGGGGAUGACGUCAAAUCAUCAUGCCCCUUAUGACCUGGGCUACACACGUGCUACAAUGGCGUAUACAACGAGUUGCCAACCCGCGAGGGUGAGCUAAUCUCUUAAAGUACGUCUCAGUUCGGAUUGUAGGCUGCAACUCGCCUACAUGAAGUCGGAAUCGCUAGUAAUCGCGGAUCAGCACGCCGCGGUGAAUACGUUCCCGGGUCUUGUACACACCGCCCGUCACACCAUGAGAGUUUGUAACACCCAAAGCCGGUGGGGUAACCUUCGGGAGCCAGCCGUCUAAGGUGGGACAGAUGAUUAGGGUGAAGUC
rnacentral:rRNA from 1 species